GAGAAUUGAAANGCUGUUGAAGCUUCUUCUCCCAUCGAAAGUCACUCCUUGGCUUGUCUUCUCCAAUGCAACUUCCUUCNUUGAGUNGAAGGNCGUCUGAGUUGUAACCACACCACUACAAGCUUCCUCCGAAUCUCCCUCAUCAUUUACUACAUCUCUUCCGCUGCAACCAUUUCCAAACACCUCCAUCCAGCCAGUUCUGGUCUGUCACGAUUCUGCACAUUCGUGAGCUACUGUUUCAUUGCCUUCCAACCGCUGGAUCCAUUCAUCUAAGCUUUAAUAUCACGGAUCUGAAGCUGCACAUCUGAAUGGACCUGUAUCAAGUGGUAUUCAGAGCAUAGUUCAUGAUCCUGCAGUGAGCUAAGUGUCUCUGUUCCUUUCCUAUACUGUCAUCACGCUGUUUUCUGUCUUUGCAUCCAAGUGUGUACUGUUUCAUUGAAAUUCUUCUAGUUUCCAGUCAUUUCGUUUGUGAUUUUAUUGAAGCCAGCUUUCUUUGCUUUGUUUUGAUCAUUUUAAUCGGUCAAAUAUGUGCUUUGAGUCUUUUAUUUUUGC
rnacentral:lncRNA from 1 species